GACGAACCGUCCGAACGUUAUUCGGAAUCACUGGGCUUAAAGGGUGCGUAGGCGGCGCGGAAAGUUGGGUGUGAAAUCCCUCGGCUUAACCGAGGAACUGCGCCCAAAACUACCGUGCUUGAGGGAGAUAGAGGUGAGCGGAACUUAGGGUGGAGCGGUGAAAUGCGUUGAUAUCCUAAGGAACACCGGUGGCGAAAGCGGCUCACUGGAUCUCUUCUGACGCUGAGGCACGAAAGCUAGGGUAGCGAACGGGG
rnacentral:rRNA from 1 species